AACCCCCAGCCAGUACCAGGCAUUGAUAGGAGAGUUGUUGCUGGCCAAGGGCCAAAUCUACCCGGAGAAUCCCUCUGUAGCUACCAAAACGGAAGCCAAAAAGUGACUGAGGGAGGUCUCAAACGAUUCAAGGUUGAUUUGGCCAAGGUUGAGGAUGUGCCCAGGAAGAAACACAAAUCCCAGGAGCAUCUUUGACCUAUGAUUUUUCCAAGGGAGAUUUUGUGAACUUUAGUAUUUAAAGGGGAAAGAGCAAGCAAAAAGGGGAAAAAAGGAGAUGGGAGGAAGGGUAGGCAGUGAGGCAGAUGGUUACAGUCUUGUGAGGGUCUGAUUAGCUUCACUGAAUCUACAUUUUACAUGUGAAAAGAGGGAGUGUGGAAGAGUCCAUUGUGUAUUGUCUCGUGCUCAGUAAAUCUACAUUUUACAUAAGAUAAAGUAAGCAUGUGAAAAGAGGGAGUAGAGCAAAUGAGGCUAUGACACGGGUUGUGAAAUUACAGUUAUCUAUUUGGGUACAAAAGGAAAAAAGUAUUGGUGGCUUGAUUCCCAAGUUUAACUUUCCCUUUGGCAUAGUGAGUUUGAGGUCCCGAUAGUCUACUUUUCUUUUACAAUAACAACACAAUUUAUGAUUUUGCUGAAAGGAAGCCAAGAAGAACAAAUUAUAUGGAAAAAUAUAUGAUAAUUUAUUAAUCAGGUCAUUAUUUUAUUACUCAUCCAAAUAUCACCAGCUCAGCUGAAUGCCCAGGCAUGAUCAAAGAUAAUUCAAUUUAGAUACAUUUGAUAUUCUGUCAACUUUUAGUCACAUAAAAACCAUAGUUUCAUACAUGUUUUUCAUUCUUGUGGUUAUGAAGACACUUUCAUCAAUCUGGGAAAAUACAAAUUACUUGAUGUACUGAAUAACUAUCUCUACCAUGUACCACUUUGCUAACUUUUCUUAGUCCUCUGGUCCAGAUAUAUUCAAUGUUCCCUAAUUUGUAAGGGCAGCCAAUUGCAAACUGCUGAUCCCACGAAUUCCAACUCUACAUGCUAAGUGGUGGGAAGUUGAGUCCCUGAGCUCAUAAUUCAUUCAACCAAUGUUUUCGAGCAUCUACUGUUACAUUCUGGAGAAAUCAGGACGCAAAGCAAUUUUCAUUCUCAAAGAAUUCAUGGUCUCAUAAGGGAAAAACCAAAACAAAAUUUGAAUGACAGAGUCUAUGUACUAGGUCUACCUAGUACCUAUGUAUAUCUAGUACGUAGAGUCUCAUAUGUAUACCUAGUACAGAGUCUCUCACAGGUAUACCUAGUACAUAUGUAUACCUAGUACACAGAGUCUUUCAUUGGGUCUUUGAGCCCCUAUAAUUUAGUGUGUGUGUGCAAAUUUGGCAUUCGUGUGAUUGAGUUAUGUCUAGCUACUCUAUGAGACUGUAAGAUCCUGGCGGACUGGGACCAGGUCUGUCUUUGCUCACCAGAGCCUCGCCAGUGCUGAAUGGGUAUUGCUGACUGAGCCAACUAAUGUUAGUGUGAUGAGCCUGACGUUAACUUUCCAACCAAGUUCAAACUCUUUAUUUGGGGACCUUAAUACCUUCCACAAACUACUUCCUCAGCAAUAUCCCACUACUCCCUCCUCAUUCUGUGACGUAGCCCAUUUCUGUGGCUCUCCUGUUCCUAAUGGGCCUUAGGCUAUGUUUCACUCAUGCUGCUUUCCUCUCUUGGGACACCUCCCAUGUCCAAUCCUUCCGCCCCUCCCUUCAUCACUGAUUGACUUCUUCCCCAUCCUCUUUAAAGUCUCAACUUGUCCCAUUUUCCUUGUGAGGUAUGCCCCACAGCUCAGGGGGUACCCAAGGAAGCAGUCUCUGGGAGGAAAAUUGGAGCACAGGAAGAUCAAGAGCUGCUGCUAGGAUUCCCACCUGUGGAAUGGAAGGAAAGGAAGCAGGCUGGGCAAAGGAGGAGUUGGGCUGCAAUGAAAUCUCAACGAAGACCUCAGCCAACCCGCAGGUAGCUCUGAAGCCAAGGCAGCUUUUUAGGGUGGCUCCAUGUUGUAGCUGCGGACAGGGUCUUUAGAUUUCUGCAUCAACCAGUCUGUUGUAGCUGCGGACAGGGUCUUUAGAUUUCUGCAUCAACCAGUCAGUGGAUGUAGACUGCCCCCUGGAAAGAGGUCUUGGGUAGGAAGGCUGAUAGCACUCUCAGCAAUUAGAUGAAUACAUCUUUCAGUCCUUCUAGGACAUCUGGGCAAUGCACACAACAACUGCUGUACAAAUAUUCCCACAUUUUUGCACCCAUCCAAAUCACCCAGAGGCUUUUUGAAACACUGACUGGGCCAGGCAUGGUGGCUCACGCCUGUAAUCCUAACACUUUGGGAGGCCGAGGCAGGCAGAUUGCUUCAGCCCAGGAGUUCAAGAACAGCCUAGGCAACAUGGCAAAACCCCACCUCUACAAAAAAUGCAAAAAUUAACCGGGUGUGGUUACACAUACCUGUGGUCCCAGCCACUCGGGAGGCUGAGACCAGGAGGAUCACUUGAAGCCAGAAGGUCGAGGUUGUAGUGAGCCAAGAUCGCACCACUGCACUCCAGCCUGGGCAACAGAGUGAGACCUUGUCUCAAAACACACACACACAGGCACCAAUGUGCACACACACACACACACACAAACACACACACGCACUGCUUGGCCCCAACUCCGGAGUUGUUAAUGUAGUAGAUCUGGAGUAGAGCCUGAGUAUCUGCAUUUGAAACAAGUUUCCAGAUGAUGCUGAUGCUGCUGAAUCCGGGACCACACUUUGAGAACCACUUACCACACACUGUACCCACACAAAGCCUCAACCCACAUAACUUCUGACCAUUCACAUUGUGCUUACCACUUGCUGCUUGGUGCCAUGUUAUUUGUGUCGUCUUUUCCUGAGCUGCAUCCUUUUGUGAAUGCAGAGCUCUACAGACUGUGUAAUAGUUUAUGGUCUUCAUGAAAGUAAAUGGAAAGCCACUGCUGGAAUCUGAGCUGCAUGGGAUAGGGUCACAUGUAUAUUUCAAAAAGAUCACUUUCACUACAGUGAAGAGAAGUGACUUGCGAUGGGGGUGCAAAGGGAUGUUGCCAGAGAGGACUCAGGUGGAGUUAGGAGUUUGAUUCUAGUAGUCCAGGGGAGAGUUAAUAAAUAGGAGGAGCUUGCACUAAUGAAGAUGGAGAAAAACAGAGAGAUUCAAGGGAUAUUUAAGAGGCAACAGUGACAGGACCUGGAGAUGGAUCAGUUGUCGGGGAAGAGAGAUCGUGUGAGAGCAAGAAUGACUCUGCAGUUUCUGCUCAUGCAGCUGAAUGUGUGUUGAAGCGCCAUUUCCUGAACACUGGAAGAGAAACAGCUUGUAGAAUAUGAGGGCCUCAUCUACAGGGCUUUUACAACUUUUUUGUUUUUUUAUUCCUGAAAGUAUCAAGUUGCAAAUGUUUUAAAAAGAUUAACUUGCUAAUUGCUUCAAUUUUUUUUCUUUUUUCUUCUUCUACACAAACAUUGACUUUUCCACACAAUAUCCUUUGUGUUAGGAGAUAUACGUGCUGUAGCUUUUGCCAUCAGGGAGUGCAUCUUUGAAGAUUUGAUUGUCAAAAACUAAUUUAAAGUCUCCUAAGAGAACAUUUUCUCCUGAACUGUCUGUAUCCCCCAAAAAGUAACAAAAAACAUCACAUGAGCUGGCAUUAUUGCCAGAAAGUACAUCAGCAUCUUGCCAGAUUUGUUCUCCUCAGUCACAAGUUCUGGCCAUUAUGAUGACAACAUUAAAAAAAAAGAAAAAGAAAAAUAGGAGAGUUGGCAUAAAGAAGAAUAUGAUCAAACAGUGUAGACAUCAUGAUACAAUUCACAUACCUCCUACCAUGCCGGAGUGGCUCUUAGAAAAUAAUGACCCUGGUAAACUAAGGGCAUUUUGGUUUUUUUAAAAGGAAUUUUCAGGCUUUAACUUGUAAGAUUUAGGACUCUUUCUUUAGUUCUGCUGUGAAUGAAUACAUAGCUUUUCUUUAUUUUUUUUUAAUCUGCCAAAUGGACAAAGGGUUUUUUGUUUCCAGAAUACAAUAGUGUUAUAUCCAAUAGACAUCUUUUUUUAAAAAAAUUCCAGAAUUUUAAGAGACUUACAAGGCUACAUGCAAGAGAGAUUUUUUGACACUUGUCAUUUGAAAUAGUUUAAGGUGUGACAAGCAUUUAUAAGUCAUUUGCUAUUGAACAAAGAUCAAAUGGAUUCACUCCCCAUUUAAAAAAAUUUGUAUUUCUUAUUUACAUUUAAAAACCCCUAUUUCUUUACCAAGACACCUAUAAGUGGCUUGUGGCUUUUGUAGCUAUUAGACUUCUUGCCUUGCUCACCUAGACACUGUCACAAAAUAUCAAACGCUAUUUAUGUGUGUGUGUGUUUUUUAACUAAGAAGUCAUUCAUUUGAAAAUACUCCAAUUCCAGUUGCAGCUUAUUUGUUUAUAAAUAGUGCCACUCUAAGGACAUACAAGGCAAUAAGUAAUAAUUUAUACUUUAGCACGAAUCCAAUUUGAUUAUAAGGAUCUUACAGAGAUUAUGGGACAUGAAAGUUCUAAAGCUCCAAGUUUAUAUUGAAAAACCCACAGGUUCCAACAAAGAAAGCACAUGCCAGAUGUAAUCUAGCAGGCUAACUUUAGGUCUUCAAUUCCAACAAAUGUCAAAACUCAGGUCAUUUAGCCAACAUUUAUUAAGCACUUACUACAUACCAGCUAUUUUGAGGUGCUUCAACAUCAUGGUAAAGCUUUCUGUUAUCAUCGUUGUUGUUUUUAAAAGUUGGCCAGGCGCAGUGGCUCACACCUGUAAUCUCA
rnacentral:lncRNA from 1 species